rnacentral:snRNA from 1 species
GUGAGAAUGAUCUGGCUGUGACAUCUGUCACACUGUUGGUUGCCAGGGUGACUUGAUAAUCUGGCUGGCUAGGCUGAGGCCCCAUCCUCCCUCACAUGUGUGUCCCUCCCAAAGCCACCCUGCUGGCCGUACCUUCCCCAGCAGAGGAGGGCCAAGGGCAUACAGUAGCUUUCCUCCCCUGAUAAAACCUCCAAAUAAACUCUCACAGCACAAAGUAGUUAAUUCAAUAAAAUCAUUUUGCUUAUAGGACCAGAGACGUGGCUCAGCAGGAAAAGCACUUGCCAAGACCCACCUUG